GACAAUGUUUUGAGCCUGUCUCCCUUCUCGGGAAACACACUCUCAACCCCACGAACCCUUGACCUCAAAUCGGGUGAGACUACCCG
rnacentral:rRNA from 1 species